GAGAUAAAGAAAGAUGAGUUUAUACUUUAUUAUACUAGUCUCUGUGCCGUGUGAAAAGGAGCGAAAUUUGCAGAAGAAACAAAGCAUAACCCCCCAGAGAAAGAUUUUCUCCCAACAAGACCAAACUUCGAACUCCACGAGAACUACCAUUAACCAAAACUAGAAAUAGAGACAGAGAUUACACAAAUUUCUUGCCUUUACUCCAUAGUUUUUCUCAGAUAGCAUUUUCCUCUGUCUUUGGCUCUUUGUGAACUUCUCCUUAUUCCGGUUUGGGUUUCCCGAGAAAAUCUAGCUAGAAAAAAGAAGGGAUCCAGUAGCAGAACCAGAAGCUAAACCCAAUCAAAGAGAAAGCUCUGAGCAAAAGACGUUUUCUGGGUUCGUUUAAUUGAAAAGAAAUGGCUGAUUCAACCAAAGUAAGGCUAGUUCGUUGCCCAAAAUGCGAGAAUCUCUUAUCAGAGCCUGAAGAUUCCCCCUUUUUCCAGUGUGGUGGCUGCUUCACCGUUCUUCGUGCCAAAAUCAAGGAGCGUGAAGCAGAUUCUGUUUCAGUCAAGUCCGUUGAAGAUAAAGCCAAACCAAUUUCAGCUAACUCUACUAGUUCCCCAGAGAAAGCAAUUGUGGAUUCUAGUGAAACUUCAUCUGACUCUGAUGUUCCAUCAAAUUCUGUUUCUUUGAGACACCACCAAAAUGUUGUUCCUGUUGAUGUUGAGAGUGAUCCUGGUUCAAAAGAACAAGGUAACAGAUCUAUAUUAGGGGAUAAAGAUGACCUUAAAUCUCAAUCGGGGAGACAAGACUCUGGUUUGGAUCGGUUUAGGAAAAGAACAACUACGAGAUGUGAUUCUGAAAGUGUCAUCAACAGAUUAUCCACUUCAAGGCAUCCUUGUGAUGAAGGCACUUCUUCUUCAGCUAACUACUUUCCAGAUUCACUCCAUGAGUUCCAGAAACAUUUGAAAGACCAGAGCAAUGAAGCAAUCGAGCAAGACCGAGCUGGACUUCUGAGACAGUUAGAAAAGAUCAAAGAACAGCUUGUUCAGUCUUGCAAUGUGGCGACUGACAAGUCUAAAGAACAGGUUCCUAGUUCUUCGUCUGCCUCGGGGUUGAACAAGGCGCCUCCAAUGCGGUUUCACAGUACGGGAAAUCACGCUGUUGGAGGUCCUUCUUAUUACCAUCAACAUCCUGAACCGCAGUUUCCUUACAACAACAACAACAAUGAAGUCCCUAUGCACCAUAGUCUGAUGCAUCCCUCUUAUGGAGACACUCAUAGGUUCCCUAUACACGGAAGAGGUCCUCAUCCGCUGCAACCAUCUCAUCCCUACUUCUCGGGACAAUAUGUUGGUAAUAAUAACAACGGUCAUGACCUCUUUGACGCAUACCCGCAGCAAAACGGGCAUUUUCAUCACUCAUCUUGCUCUUGUUACCAGUGUUAUGAUAAUAAAUACUGGCGAGGUCCAGCACCGGUGAUCCCUGAUGCACCCUAUAACGCCGGUUUUUAUCCUCAUGAGAGCGUUAUGGGUUUUGCUCCACCGCAUAAUCCAAGAACUUAUGGUUCUCGUGGUCUACAGCCUCAUGGCAGAUGGCCUAGUAACUUCAGUGAUGCUCAAAUGGACUCUCUUUCGCGGAUACGUCCUCCUAAAGUUGUAUUAUCAGGUGGAUCUCGUCAUAUCCGCCCUUUGGCAGGUGGUGCUCCGUUUAUAACCUGUCAAAACUGUUUUGAGCUUCUACAAUUGCCAAAGAAACCAGAGGCUGGUACAAAAAAACAGCAGAAAGUGCGAUGUGGAGCAUGCUCUUGUUUGAUAGAUUUAUCUGUUGUUAAUAACAAAUUCGUUCUCUCGACAAACACAGCUUCAACGAGACAAGGAGAAGCCCGUGUAGCUGCUGAUUACACUUCUGAUGACUAUGAUCUUCUUGGUUAUGUGUUUCAUUCGUUGGAUGAUGAACCAAGAGAUCUUCCGGGAUUGAUUUCAGACAAGUCUCAAGAUAUGCAACACGUUCAUUCUCAUUUCGCCAGCCUUUCCAAGGGCGAGCUAAGCUCAGACAGUCUAACAGCUAAGCCACUAGCUCAAGCUCAAGAUUCGCCUCUUCAAGAUAACUUUGUUGAUUACUCUUCGAUCAAUCACGACCGGUCUGGAGCAGGCAGCCGUAGCUCUCGUUCAGAACACGACAAGGUCACACUGAGCAAGACGACAGCUAUGAGACAGAACUCCUCCAUAAAAGAGGUUUCACUUGCAAGUGAGAUGGAAGUUAACUUCAACGACUACUCUCAUCGUAACAGUGGAGUAUCUAAAGAUCAGCAGCAAAGAGCCAAGAAGAGCGGAUUCGCAAGCAUUGUGAAGAAAAGCUUCAAGGAUCUGACAAAAUCUAUUCAGAAUGAUGAAGGGAACAAAAGCAAGGUUUCGAUAAAUGGACAUCCUUUAACAGAACGUCUGCUGAGAAAAGCAGAGAAGCAAGCCGGAGUCAUUCAGCCAGGAAACUACUGGUAUGAUUACAGAGCUGGAUUCUGGGGAGUAAUGGGAGGUCCAGGUCUUGGAAUAUUACCGAAUUAGGGUUUUGUAUAAAUUAAGGCUGAGCGUGGACAAAAUAAAGAAGACUUCCAACAGCCAUGUCUCUGCUUCUCAGCCGCCUCCUGAAAACACCUGCACUCGUCAGAAACCUCACCGCUCGUUCUUUCUCAACUUCCUUUUCGAAAAAGGUUUCCAGAACUAUGAUUAAUGGGGAUGUCGGAUAUAUCGAGUUUUUUAAAUAUCCUCAUGAUGAGUUGAUGGAGGAUCCAGGAACGAUAGGAUCAUCCCAAGGAGCAGUUGCUACAUUGAAGGAAGGAAUAGUGUGCCUCCAAGAGCAUCCAAAACCAAAUGUGCCAGAUGCAGAUCGAAAACGCCUCUCACUGCCUCCCCUUGUAACACUACCUCAUUGCCAAACCCAAAUUGUAACCAAUGUAGCCCUGUCGUCAUUUUUCCCCGAGGAGGAAGACUUUGUUGUGGCUAUCAAGUUCUUGGGACCUCAACUAAGCUUAUGUAGGCCUGCUCGAAGCUCAAAGUGGACCAACAUAAGAAUCACAGACCCGGGUUUCUUCAAUUCCCGUGUCAUGUAUUCCAAGAAAGAUGACAUGUUCUCCAUGCCUGUUUCUGGAGGCUCCUACAUUAGAUCAUGGAAUCUUGGAGAAGAGUCAAAAGACAUUCACAAACACAAGGUGAAGCAGUUGCGGUUUCUACAGUUUCCGGAGCUGGAGCAAUCAGCGUGGGAUCUCUUGAAUUCGUGUUGCACGAGCGAACACUUGGCGGAAUCUGAAGACACCGGUAAAACUUUUUUGGUUAAGUGGUACACGAAGAGCAACUUCCGUAGAAAGGAAACGCAGCGUUUCAUCGUAUUCAAAAUAGACGAGAAAGGAGACGCGGAGUACACUAGUAACAUUGGAGAUCUCACCAUCGCUCUCCACUCCAAGGCUUCAGCUAUAUGUGUCACGGCUAGCUGGCGUAAUCGAACUCCAAACAUCAUCUUAUUCAAGGGUCUCCAUGACUCCGGAACAGCCCACCUCUACGAUUGAGUGUUUAUUUUAAAGAUUUUUUAUAUGCUCUUUAUACCAAUCGCCUUUGCUUCACUUUUCAAUUACUUAUUGUUGGGUUUUACUAAGUUAUGUUUUUUUUUCUUUCUUUAAGAUUGAUGUGUUUGGACCUGGGAAUUUUGAAUUGAUAGGUUUUCUACGUUUUCUUGUUUACUAUGUGGUUGUUUUUGGUUCUUCUGAUAAAUUAACAGACUGGUGUUUUUAUGGUUUGAUGAUAAUUGCUUUUGAUU